rnacentral:rRNA from 1 species
GACGAACGCUGGCGGCGUGCUUAACACAUGCAAGUCGAACGGGCAGUAGUAGACAGAAGCCUCGGCUCAAGAUUACUAAUGAGAGUGGCGAACGGGUGAGUACCGCGUGAGCAACCUGCCUAUGACAGUGGGAUAGCCUCGGGAUACCGGGAAUAAUACCGCAUCAAAUCGUACAAACACAUGAUUCAACGGUCAAAGGAUUAUCUGUCAUAUAGGGGCUCGCGUCUGAUUAGCGUGUUGGUGAGAUAAAAGCACACCAAGGCGACGAUCAGUAGCCGGUCUGAGAGGAAGAGCGGCCACAUUGGAGCUGAGACGCGGUCCAAACUCCUACGGGAUGCAGCAGUGGGGAAUAUUGCACAAUGGGGGAAGCCCUGAUGGAGCGACGACGCGUGAACUAAGAAGGUAUGCAUAUCGUAAAGUGCUGUCCUAUGGGAAGAUAAUGACAGUACCAUAGAAGAAAGCCCCGGCUAAAUACGUG